GCCGGCGUGGCCGAAAGGACAGGCGCCCGACUUCUAAUCGGGACGAUGCGGGUUCGAGUCCUGCCGCCGGCA
rnacentral:tRNA from 1 species